GGCUUUCUUUGAUUGGUUUUAAGCACAGCAGGAUAAGAGAAACCCAGAAUUGGGAAUUUUGUUUGCCUCUGUGUUAGGAUUAGGGGCUAGAUUUUGGUUUUAGGGAUUUGGGCUGAUUCACAAUGGCCUCUUAUAGGCAACUUCCUCCGCAAUCCGCAUUCCAACAACAGCAGCAGCAAAGCAACAGCAACAGCAGAGACCUAAUCAGUAUACUCAAAACAACACUCAAAUGGCGCCAGCAGCAGCAGCUUCUUCCUCUAAAUUCCCCCCAAACUAUCCCCAAAUUCCUAUCCAGCAGAAUUUCUCACAACAUUAUCCUCCUCCGCGUGCCCAACACUCUGCCGCUCCCCCACCACCUCACCAACAGUAUCCUUAUGCACCACCCCCACCACCAGAAUCAUCAUACCCACCUCCACCUCCUCCACCAGCACCAGCCCAACAGCAACCACCUCCUAUGUACUACCCACCAUCACAAUAUUCU
rnacentral:misc_RNA from 1 species